GAUAGUCCAGAUGGUGUUGCAGGUCUGUGACUGAGCUUUAAUCCACAUCCUUGUGUUUAUGUCGAAUGCAUGCUUUUCAUGGCUAUGCUAUACCCUUUUUAUUGAUAAUUAUUGUUCUUCCAUUGUGCUUUCCCUCUCUUCCUACAAUUAGAUCAAUUAGAAUCAAUUUUGAGAUGGGUUGAGUGCUUUAGGACCUAACCAUGAUUUUAAACUGUGUCUGUUUCAUGCAGUGAAUGUGCAUUUUUA
rnacentral:misc_RNA from 1 species